UUUGCUUGAGGAGCCGUGGCAGGUAUUGCAUGGCUUUCGUCAGCUCGUGUCGUGGGACGUUGGGUUAAGUCCCGUAACGAGCGCAACCCCUGCCCUUAAUUGCCAACGGGUAAUGCCGGGUACUAUAAGGGGACUGCCGGAGAAUAUCCGGAGGAAGGAGGGGAUGACGUCAAGUCAUUAUGAUCCUUAUGCUCUGGGCGACACACGUGCUACAAUGGGCACUACAAUGAGGAGCGAUUCCGCAAGGAGGAGCAAAUCUCAAAAAGGUGCCCCCAGUGCGGAUUGGGGUCUGCAACCCGACCCCAUGAAGAUGGAAUCGGUAGUAAUCGCGGGUCAGCCAUACCGCGGUGAAUACGUACUUGGGCCUUGUACACACCGCCCGUCACACCAACCGAGUAGGCGACACCCGAAGUCGACGUAUGUUGCCGAAGGUGUUACCUGCAAGGGGGGUGAAGUCGUAACAAGGUAACC
rnacentral:rRNA from 1 species